GACGAACGCUGGCGGCGUGCCUAAUACAUGCAAGUAGAACGCAGUUGCGAACGGGUGAGUAACGCGUAGGUAACUGCCUGGUAGCGGGGGAUAACUAUUGGAAACGAUAGCUAAUACCGCAUACUACCAGAUGGACCUGCGUUGUAUUAGCUAGUUGGUGAGGUAACGGCUCACCCAGGCAACGAUACAUAGCCGACCCGGGAGGGGGAUCGGCCCACCUGGGACGGGGACACGGCCCAGACCUCUUCGGGGGGCAGCAGUAGGGAAUCUUCGGAAAUGGGGGGAAACCUGACCGAGCAACGCCGCGGGAGUGAAGAAGGUUUUCGGAUCGUAAAGCUCUGUUGUUAAGGAAGCGGUACUUAACCAGAAAGGGACGGCUAACUACGUGCCAGCCGCCGCGGUAAUAC
rnacentral:rRNA from 1 species